rnacentral:rRNA from 1 species
GUCCAGACUCCUACGGGAGGCAGCAGUGGGGAAUAUUGCACAAUGGGGGGAACCCUGAUGCAGCGACGCCGCGUGGGUGAAGGAGCACCUCGGUGCGUAAAGCCCUAUCGGCAGGGAAGAAACAGACGGUACCUGACUAAGAAGCCCCGGCUAACUACGUGCCAGCAGCCGCGGUAAUACGGAGGGUGCAAGCGUUACUCGGAAUCACUGGGCGUAAAGAGCGCGUAGGCGGGAUAGCAAGUCAGAUGUGAAAUCCUAUGGCUUAACCAUAGAACUGCAUUUGAAACUGUUAUUCUAGAGUAUGGGAGAGGUAGGUGGAAUUCCUAGUGUAGCGGUGAAAUGCGUAGAUAUUAGGAGGAACACCAGUGGCGAAGGCGGCCUGCUGGACGACAACUGACGGUGAGGCGCGAAAGCGUGGGGAGCAAACAGGAUUAGAUACCCGAGUACA